rnacentral:rRNA from 1 species
UUUUGGACAAUGGGCGAAAGCCUGAUCCAGCCAUUCCGCGUGAGUGAAGAAGGCCUUCGGGUUGUAAAGCCCUUUCGCAAGGGCAGAAACGAUGCAGUCGAAUAAACUGUGUUAAUGACGGUACCUUGAUAAGAAGCACCGGCUAACUACGUGCCAGCAGCCGCGGUAAUACGUAGGGUGCAAGCGUUAAUCGGAAUUACUGGGCGUAAAGCGUGCGCAGGCGGUUUUGUAAGUCAGAUGUGAAAUCCCCGAGCUCAACUUGGGAACCCCCGUUUGAAACUACAAGACUAGAAUAUGUCAGAGGGGGGUAGAAUUCCACGUGUAGCAGUGAAAUGCGUAGAGAUGGGAGGAAUACCAAUGGCGAAGGCAGCCCCCUGGGAUAAUAUUGACGCUCAUGCACGAAA